rnacentral:rRNA from 1 species
CUUGGUCAUUUAGAGGAAGUAAAAGUCGUAACAAGGUCUCCGUUGGUGAACCAGCGGAGGGAUCAUUAUCGAGUUAUUCAACUCCCAAACCCUAUGUGAACUUACCACUUGUUGCUUCGGUGCGCGCUUCGGCGCCGCCGAGGACACUUAAACUCUUUGUUUUUAUAAGCAUUUCUGAGUGGCCGAAAGGCAAAAAUACAAAUGAAUCAAAACUUUCAACAACGGAUCUCUUGGUUCUGGCAUCGAUGAAGAACGCAGCGAAAUGCGAUAAGUAAUGUGAAUUGCAGAAUUCAGUGAAUCAUCGAAUCUUUGAACGCACAUUGCGCCCGCCAGCAUUCUGGCGGGCAUGCCUGUUCGAGCGUCAUUUCAACCCUCGAGCCCGACUCUUUUGAGGACGGCUCGGCGUUGGGGGACGGCAGACUCCCCCCGGCAUCUCGCCGGGGACGCCGCCCCCGAAAUCUAGUGGCGGCCCUCCGAGGCGACCUCUGCGUAGUAACUUGUUCUCGCACCGGAAAGCUCAGAGCGGCCACGCCGUAAAACCCCAACUUUUUUCAGGUUGACCUCGAAUCAGGUAGGACUAC